rnacentral:rRNA from 1 species
AGAGUUUGAUCCUGGCUCAGGACGAACGCUGGCGGCGUGCUUAACACAUGCAAGUCGAGCGAGAGAAUCUGGUGCUUGCACCAGAGGAUCUAGCGGCGGACGGGUGAGUAACACGUGGGCAACCUGCCCUAAGGAGGGGAAUAACAGGCCGAAAGGUCUGCUAAUACCGCAUAAGACCAUAGCUUCGCAUGGAGCAUUGG